rnacentral:rRNA from 1 species
AUUGAACGCUAGCGGGAUGCCUUACACAUGCAAGUCGAACGGCAGCGGGGGAUAGCUUGCUAUCCUGCCGGCGAGUGGCGGACGGGUGAGUAAUGCAUGGGGAGCUGCCCAGUCGAGGGGGAUAACAACUGGAAACGGUUGCUAAUACCGCAUACGCCCUGAGGGGGAAAGGUGGGGAAAUUCGGUCCUACCGCGAUUGGAUGCGCCCAUGUGGGAUUAGCUAGUUGGUGAGGUAACGGCUCACCAAGGCGACGAUCUCUAGCUGGUCUUAGGGGAUGACCAGCCACACUGGACGUGAGACACGGACCAGACUCGUACGGGAGGAGGCAGGGGGGCAUAUUGCACAAUGGGGGCAACCCUGAUGCAGCCAUGCCGCGGGUGUGAAGAGGGCCUUCGGGUUGUAAAGCACUUUCAGCGAGGAGGAAAGGUCAGUAGCUAAUACCUGCUGGCUGUGACGUUACUCGCAGAAGAAGCACCGGCUAACUCCGUGCCAGCCGCCGCCGUAA